CAGGCUUAACACAUGCAAGUCGAGGGGCAUCAGGAAGAAAGCUUGCUUUCUUUGCUGGCGACCGGCGCACGGGUGAGUAACACGUAUCCAACCUGCCCUUUACUCGGGGAUAGCCUUUCGAAAGAAAGAUUAAUACCUGAUAGCAUAAUGAUUCCGCAUGGUUUCAUUAUUAAAGGAUUCCGGUAAAGGAUGGGGAUGCGUUCCAUUAGGUUGUUGGUGAAGUAACGGCCCACCAAGCCUUCGAUGGAUAGGGGUUCUGAGAGGAAGGUCCCCCACAUUGGAACUGAGACACGGUCCAAACUCCUACGGGAGGCAGCAGUGAGGAAUAUUGGUCAAUGGGCGCUAGCCUGAACCAGCCAAGUAGCGUGAAGGAUGAAGGCUCUAUGGGUCGUAAACUUCUUUUAUAUAAGAAUAAAGUGCAGUAUGUAUACUGUUUUGUAUGUAUUAUAUGAAUAAGGAUCGGCUAACUCCGUGCCAGCAGCCGCGGUAAUACGGAGGAUCCGAGCGUUAUCCGGAUUUAUUGGGUUUAAAGGGAGCGUAGGUGGACUGGUAAGUCAGUUGUGAAAGUUUGCGGCUCAACCGUAAAAUUGCAGUUGAUACUGUCAGUCUUGAGUACAGUAGAGGUGGGCGGAAUUCGUGGUGUAGCGGUGAAAUGCUUAGAUAUCACGAAGAACUCCGAUUGCGAAGGCAGCUCACUGGACUGCAACUGACACUGAUGCUCGAAAGUGUGGGUAUCAAACAGGAUUAGAUACCCUGGUAGUCCACACAGUAAACGAUGAAUACUCGCUGUUUGCGAUAUACAGUAAGCGGCCAAGCGAAAGCAUUAAGUAUUCCACCUGGGGAGUACGCCGGCAACGGUGAAACUCAAAGGAAUUGACGGGGGCCCGCACAAGCGGAGGAACAUGUGGUUUAAUUCGAUGAUACGCGAGGAACCUUACCCGGGCUUAAAUUGCAGUGGAAUGAUGUGGAAACAUGUCAGUGAGCAAUCACCGCUGUGAAGGUGCUGCAUGGUUGUCGUCAGCUCGUGCCGUGAGGUGUCGGCUUAAGUGCCAUAACGAGCGCAACCCUUAUCUUUAGUUACUAACAGGUUAUGCUGAGGACUCUAGAGAGACUGCCGUCGUAAGAUGUGAGGAAGGUGGGGAUGACGUCAAAUCAGCACGGCCCUUACGUCCGGGGCUACACACGUGUUACAAUGGGGGGUACAGAAGGCAGCUAGCGGGUGACCGUAUGCUAAUCCCAAAAUCCUCUCUCAGUUCGGAUCGAAGUCUGCAACCCGACUUCGUGAAGCUGGAUUCGCUAGUAAUCGCGCAUCAGUCACGGCGCGGUGAAUACGUUCCCGGGCCUUGUACACACCGCCCGUCAAGCCAUGGGAGCCGGGGGUACCUGAAGCACGUAACCGCAAGGAUCGUCCUAGGGUAAAACUGGUGACUGGGGCU
rnacentral:rRNA from 1 species